AUGAGGAGGGCGCCGGCGGCGGCAUUCCUGCUGCUGGCGCUGCUCGCGGCGGCGGAGGCGAGUGGUCCGGAGGGCGGCGAGCAGGCGUGCGACAAGGGGUGGGAGCGCAGCGGCAGCAGGCUCUGCUGCAAACGGAACAUCACCGACUUCUUCAAGGCCCGCCACUUCGAGGAGCUCUUCCCCAGGCGGAACGACACCAUCGCCCACGCCGCGGGAUUCUGGGACUACCCGGCCUUCAUCGCCGCCGCCGCCCUCUUUGAGCCCCGCGGGUUCGGCACCACCGGCGGCAAGGAGAUGGGCGUCAGGGAGGUCGCCGCCUUCCUCGCCCACGUCGGCGCCAUCACCUCGUGUGGACGUUUUUAUCCAAAUCCAAUGGCAUGGGGUCUUUGCUACAAGCGUGAAAUGAGCCCAUACCAGAACUUCUAUUGCGAUGACAGCAACGAAUUAUAUCGCUGUGUCGAAGGACUUCAAUACUAUGGCCGAGGCGGCGAGGCCCUCUUCCUGAACUAUAACUACGGUAUCAUCGGUAAGGGUAUCAAGCAGGAUCUGUUGAGCCACCCAGAGUUGCUGCAACAGAAUGCCACCCUAGCAUUUGAGGCAGCAAUCUGGAGGUGGAUGACUCCAGUGAAGUGGAGACAGCCGUCAGCCCACGAUGCCUUCGUUGGUAACUGGAAACCAAGCAAGAAUGAUCUUUUGUCUAAGAGAUAUCCGGGCUUUGGCACUACAAUGAAUAUCAUGCGUGGUGAUCGCAUCUGCGGUCAAGGGUUCACUGAUGAGAUGAAUAACACUAUAUCCCACUACAUAUAUUAUCUCGGCUUGAUGGGAGUUAAUCAUGAGCACUCUGGGCGUAGCUUGGAUUGUGCCGACCAGGUGGUAUUCAAUCCGUCCUCGAAGAGUUUGGGCUCAUAA
rnacentral:rRNA from 1 species